AGUCCAGUGGUUAGGACACCAUGCUCUCAACGCUGAGGACCCAGGUUCAAUUCCUGG
rnacentral:tRNA from 1 species